rnacentral:rRNA from 1 species
UACGUAGGGUGCAAGCGUUGUCCGGAAUUAUUGGGCGUAAAGAGCUCGUAGGCGGCCUGGCAAGUGGAAGGUGAAAUCCCUCGGCUUAACCGAGGAACUGCCCUCCAAACUGCUUGGCUUGAGUCCGGGAGAGGUGAGUGGAAUUCCCAGUGUAGCGGUGAAAUGCGUAGAUAUUGGGAGGAACACCAGUGGCGAAGGCGGCUCACUGGACCGGAACUGACGCUGAGGCGCGAAAGCGUGGGGAGCAAACGGG